AGAGCAUAACUGUCUCUUAUUUAUAAAUAGAAAUUGACCUUCAAGUGAAGAGACUUGAAUCUUUUAAAAAGACGAAAAGACCCUAUAGAGCUUUACUUAUAACUGACUUUAUUUCAGUUCCAAGUUUAGUUGGGGCAACUAGAGGGCUCUUAAACACCUCUUAGAUACAUAAAAAGAUUCAGCAU
rnacentral:rRNA from 1 species